GCCUGCUCUCCUGGUGUGAGGUGUGGUGGGGGCAGACACACACCAGCCUGCUCUCCUGGGUGUGAGGUGUGGUGGGAGGACAGACACACACCAGCCUGCUCUCCUGGGUGUGAGGUGUGGUGGGAGGACAGACACACACCAGCCUGCUCUCCUGGGUGUGAGGUGUGGUGGGGACAGACACACACCAGCCUGCUCUCCUGGUGUGAGGUGUGGUGGGAGGACAGACACACACCAGCCUGCUCUCCUGGUGUGAGGUGUGGUGGGAGGACAGACACACACCAGCCUGCUCUCCUGGUGUGAGGUGUGGUGGGAGGACAGACACACACCAGCCUGCUCUCCUGGGUGUGAGGUGUGGUGGGGACAGACACACACCAGCCUGCUCUCCUGGUGUGAGGUGUGGUGGGGGCAGACACACACCAGCCUGCUCUCCUGGUGUGAGGUGUGGUGGGAGGACAGACACACACCAGCCUGCUCUCCUGGUGUGAGGUGUGGUGGGGACAGACACACACCAGCCUGCUCUCCUGGUGUGAGGUGUGGUGGGAGGACAGACACACACCAGCCUGCUCUCCUGGUGUGAGGUGUGGUGGGGACAGACACACACCAGCCUGCUCUCCUGGUGUGAGGUGUGGUGGGAGGACAGACACACACCAGCCUGCUCUCCUGGUGUGAGGUGUGGUGGGAGGACAGACACACACCAGCCUGCUCUCCUGGGUGUGAGGUGUGGUGGGAGGACAGACACACACCAGCCUGCUCUCCUGGUGUGAGGUGUGGUGGGAGGACAGACACACACCAGCCUGCUCUCCUGGUGUGAGGUGUGGUGGGAGGACAGACACACACCAGCCUGCUCUCCUGGUGUGAGGUGUGGUGGGAGGACAGACACACACCAGCCUGCUCUCCUGGUGUGAGGUGUGGUGGGAGGACAGACACACACCAGCCUGCUCUCCUGGUGUGAGGUGUGGUGGGAGGACAGACACACACCAGCCUGCUCUCCUGGGUGUGAGGUGUGGUGGGGACAGACACACACCAGCCUGCUCUCCUGGUGUGAG